AAAUAACUACGAGUAAAAACUUAAAAUUUAAAAGACUUGACGGUAUCUCACAUCAACCUAGAGGAGCCUGUCUAUUAACCGAUACUCCACGAUUAACCCAACCCAAGCUAGCCCUACAGUCUAUAUACCGCCGUCGCCAGCUUACCUUAUGAAAGAAACAAAGUGAGCAAGACAGUCACACACUAAUACGACAGGUCGAGGUGUAACUAAUGCAGGGGUCAAAGAUGGGCUACAUUUUCUAAUACAGAAAACACGAAUAAAAUAUGAAACUAAAAACUGAAGGCGGAUUUAGCAGUAAUAUAAGAACAAAACACUUAAAUGAAACUAAAGCAAUGAGAUGCGU
rnacentral:rRNA from 1 species